GUUAUUAAAUACUGUCUAGUUUAAAAAAAAAUGGUCCAAACAAUUCAAGGACAUGGUGAAAUUUUCGCUGAGUCCAUGAAUCAUCGGCUAUAUAAAAGGCAGCAGCUGAAAGCUCUUAGUCAAGACUUCAGAGAAGACAACAUAACAAAGCUGCUUUAUGGUUACAAGACCAGGAGCAGUAUAGAAUGACUUCACAAAUAGAGCAAGCUGUGUCUUCAAAUGACAGAUUCAUGUGUGUUGGCAUUGAAAUCAGUAACAACAGCAAAUUCAUACUAGAAUCACCUGAGUUUUACGUUCAUGGUGGUGUCAUGCAAAGUCCACCAACACUUACAAUAGAACCAG